CAAUUUUCGUCCACUAGGAUUUUAUUUCCCUCUUAAUGUUCGCUCUUUUUUAAGUUCUCCAACUCAAAGACCACUCCCCAAUUUCUUAGACAACUCACACAAAUCACAAAAAAGACGCUCGCCAUCACUCAUAGAAGAACUGUGUGAUGAUACAGUAUGAAAUUUAUUCAUCGAUGCUAUUGAAAGAGAUCGAAAACGCAGAACUUAGAUCUCUCUUGGAAGAUGCAAGGUAGAAUAUACUUCAGGAGCUUGAAAAGCAAAAACCAUCUGCUUUAAGAGUGGUGAAGCAAAUACACAAAGGAUAGACAAAAGGAUUGAAGAACUUGUAUACGGCGAAAUUGGAGGGUCCAAUUUCUCGUUAUUAAAGCAUUUCUGAGGAUCAUCUCGAGGCCUCGAGGCUGCGAGGCUAUGGUCGAGUUCCCUCCCUCAAGGUUCGUUGACGCCCGACUAAUCACAAUGUUUGCCGCGGUCAUAAUGGGAAUGGAGAGUUCCCUAGGUAUGCAACUAGUGUUGGCAGAGUGUAGUGUCAUCUAGUUGUCCCAUCCCCCUAUCUUUGUAAUUGAUGCUAUGUUGGGAUUCCCCUCCUAUAUAAAGGGGAUAUUUGACGCUUUGUAGAGGCCUGUUGCUCCAAUUACUCCACACGAAAUAUAGAAGAACAUUCUCCUUUCUCUCUAA